rnacentral:misc_RNA from 1 species
AAGUCGUAACAAGGUUUCCGUAGGUGAACCUGCGGAAGGAUCAUUAAUGAGUUAGGGUGCGAAAGCGCCCGACCUCCAACCCUUUGUCGUUAAACAAAACCUGUUGCUUUGGCGGGACCGUCGCCCCCCUCCUCGGGGGGCGGCCCUCGGUCUUCGGCCCGGGGAGCGCCCGCCAGAGUCCAACCAUCAACUCUUGUCUUAACUGUACGUCUGAGUCAAUUGAUAAAAUCAAUCAAAACUUUCAACAACGGAUCUCUUGGUUCUG